GAUGAACGCUGGCGGCGUGCCUAAUACAUGCAAGUCGAGCGAACCAAAGAGAGCUUGCUCUCUGAGGUUAGCGGCGGACGGGUGAGUAACACGUGGGUAACCUGCCUGUAAGACGGGGAUAACUUCGGGAAACCGAAGCUAAUACCGGAUGAUAAAGAGAAACGCCUGUUUCUUUUUUGAAAGUCGGCCUUGUGCUGACGCUUACAGAUGGGCCCGCGGCGCAUGAGCUAGUUGGUGAGGUAACGGCUCACCAAGGCGACGAUGCGUAGCCGACCUGAGAGGGUGAUCGGCCACACUGGGACUGAGACACGGCCCAGACUCCUACGGGAGGCAGCAGUAGGGAAUCUUCGGCAAUGGACGAAAGUCUGACCGAGCAACGCCGCGUGAGCGAUGAAGGCCUUCGGGUCGUAAAGCUCUGUUGUCAGAGAAGAACAAGUACCGGAGUAACUGCCGGUACCUUGACGGUACCUGACCAGAAAGCCACGGCUAACUACGUGCCAGCCGCCGCGGUAAUAC
rnacentral:rRNA from 1 species